GGAUUGAUGAUGCUAUCCCUCAAAUGCAUUCCUUGGAAAAGCUGAACAAAAUGAGUGAGAACUCACUACCAUCGUUCUCAUUGAAUCUGAGGUGU